GACGAACGCUGGCGGCGUGCCUAAUACAUGCAAGUAGAACGCACAGUUUAUACCGUAGCUUGCUACACCAUAGACUGUGAGUUGCGAACGGGUGAGUAACGCGUAGGUAACCUGCCUGGUAGCGGGGGAUAACUAUUGGAAACGAUAGCUAAUACCGCAUAAUAUUAAUUAUUGCAUGAUAAUUAAUUGAAAGGUGCAAUUGCACCACUACCAGAUGGACCUGCGUUGUAUUAGCUAGUAGGUGAGGUAACGGCUCACCUAGGCGACGAUACAUAGCCGACCUGAGCGGGUGAGCGGCCACACUGGGACUGAGACACGGCCCAGACUCCUACGGGAGGCAGCAGUAGGGAAUCUUCGGCAAUGGACGAAAGUCUGACCGAGCAACGCCGCGUGAGUGAAGAAGGUUUUCGGAUCGUAAAGCUCUGUCGUAAGAGAAGAACGGGUGUGAGAGUGGAAAGUUCACACUGUGACGGUAUCUUACCAGAAAGGGACGGCUAACUACGUG
rnacentral:rRNA from 1 species